rnacentral:lncRNA from 1 species
CGAUCUAUGUCUUUUCACUAUUUUCUAACUUUGUUGAUACAAAUAUCAGAGACGCUCACUCAAAACUCAACAUCAUCAUAUUUAUAUUGAGUUAUUUUUUUUUACUUUAGACUAUUUAAGAAUUGAAAUUGCAGGUGGAAAAUUAGUUGGUUUACAAAUACGUACUGGCCUGUUUUCCAGCUGCUAAAGUAUUAGAAAAUUUCCAUAAUGACCAUCAAUUUAUUGUAAUAUAAUCCUUUUCUGAUUUUUUUGUUUGUUUUGUGAACACAAGAAAAUGGCUUAAUGCACAUGUACAUAAACAAACCAUAUACACAUGUACACAUGUACAACCUUCUAAACAACAGCACUUGAUAUACUCAGAAAUAUUUCAAUUAACUAGUCGAAUGAUUAAAAAAUGUAUUAAACUUUUAUGUAAGAAAAUAAUAUUUUUUUAAAUGUUUACCAGAAAUAUACCUAAGCAGUAUAUACAAAUGUGGAUAUAGUGAUAUAUAUUGCAAUAAAACUGUUAAAAAUAUGUAAAUAUACAACCAUUAAAUGAUUUGUUACAGCCCAUCCAGGAACCUUCAUAACAAUGUACAACAAUACAGUAGGGGCUCUUUUCACAAAAAAUGUUAUGACUAAACUUCAUCGUAAGCUAAUACAUGUAUAUUGAAAUGUUCAUAACUUGUGAGUAUUUUUACUCGUAAGAUUUUUUGUGAAAUGAGCCCCACAUUUUUUAAACAAUUAUUCAAGAUAAAAUAACAGGAAUGCAU